AAAAAGGGCUUCUGCCGUGAGUGGUACUCAUAGACCAGUUGGCUUGCUCUAUGUGUGGAAUUGGUAUCAAGAGAUUUUGGAACCAUGAUGUUUUGGCAGUAGGGCAGCUAGUGAUCAUUGGUCCUGGUAUCCCA